GAUGAACGCUGGCGGCGUGCCUAAUACAUGCAAGUCGAGCGAACGGACGAGAAGCUUGCUUCUCUGAUGUUAGCGGCGGACGGGUGAGUAACACGUGGAUAACCUACCUAUAAGACUGGGAUAACUUCGGGAAACCGGAGCUAAUACCGGAUAAUAUUUUGAACCGCAUGGUUCAAAAGUGAAAGACGGUCUUGCUGUCACUUAUAGAUGGAUCCGCGCUGCAUUAGCUAGUUGGUAAGGUAACGGCUUACCAAGGCAACGAUGCAUAGCCGACCUGAGAGGGUGAUCGGCCACACUGGAACUGAGACACGGUCCAGACUCCUACGGGAGGCAGCAGUAGGGAAUCUUCCGCAAUGGGCGAAAGCCUGACCGAGCAACGCCGCGUGAGUGAUGAAGGUCUUCGGAUCGUAAAACUCUGUUAUUAGGGAAGAACAUAUGUGUAAGUAACUGUGCACAUCUUGACGGUACCUAAUCAGAAAGCCACGGCUAACUACGUGCCAGCAGCCGCGGUAAUACGUAUGUGGCAAGCGUUAUCCGGAAUUAUUGGGCGUAAAGCGCGCGUAGGCGGUUUUUUAAGUCUGAUGUGAAAGCCCACGGCUCAACCGUGGAGGGUCAUUGGAAACUGGAAAACUUGAGUGCAGAAGAGGAAAGUGGAAUUCCAUGUGUAGCGGUGAAAUGCGCAGAGAUAUGGAGGAACACCAGUGGCGAAGGCGACUUUCUGGUCUGUAACUGACGCUGAUGUGCGAAAGCGUGGGGAUCAAACAGGAUUAGAUACCCUGGUAGUCCACGCCGUAAACGAUGAGUGCUAAGUGUUAGGGGGUUUCCGCCCCUUAGUGCUGCAGCUAACGCAUUAAGCACUCCGCCUGGGGAGUACGACCGCAAGGUUGAAACUCAAAGGAAUUGACGGGGACCCGCACAAGCGGUGGAGCAUGUGGUUUAAUUCGAAGCAACGCGAAGAACCUUACCAAAUCUUGACAUCCUUUGACAACUCUAGAGAUAGAGCUUUCCCCUUCGGGGGACAAAGUGACAGGUGGUGCAUGGUUGUCGUCAGCUCGUGUCGUGAGAUGUUGGGUUAAGUCCCGCAACGAGCGCAACCCUUAAGCUUAGUUGCCAUCAUUAAGUUGGGCACUCUAAGUUGACUGCCGGUGACAAACCGGAGGAAGGUGGGGAUGACGUCAAAUCAUCAUGCCCCUUAUGAUUUGGGCUACACACGUGCUACAAUGGACAAUACAAAGGGCAGCGAAACCGCGAGGUCAAGCAAAUCCCAUAAAGUUGUUCUCAGUUCGGAUUGUAGUCUGCAACUCGACUACAUGAAGCUGGAAUCGCUAGUAAUCGUAGAUCAGCAUGCUACGGUGAAUACGUUCCCGGGUCU
rnacentral:rRNA from 1 species